rnacentral:rRNA from 1 species
UACGAAGGGGGCUAGCGUUGCUCGGAAUUACUGGGCGUAAAGCGCACGUAGGCGGAUUGUUAAGUCGGGGGUGAAAUCCUGGAGCUCAACUCCAGAACUGCCUUCGAUACUGGCGAUCUUGAGUCCGGGAGAGGUGAGUGGAACUCCGAGUGUAGAGGUGAAAUUCGUAGAUAUUCGGAAGAACACCAGUGGCGAAGGCGGCUCACUGGCCCGGUACUGACGCUGAGGUGCGAAAGCGUGGGGAGCAAACAGG